AACGAACGCUGGCGGCGUGCUUAACACAUGCAAGUCGAACGAGAAAGCCCUUCGGGGUAAGUACAGUGGCGAACGGGUGAGUAACACGUGGGCAACCUGCCCCGGAGAGCGGGACAACCCGAGGAAACUCGGGCUAAUACCGCAUGACGCGUCUCCACUUAAGUGGAGCCGCCAAAUGGUAGCUUCGGCCUCCGCUCUGGGAUGGGCCCGCGCCGGAUUAGCUAGUUGGUAGGGGUAAUGGCCCACCAAGGCGACGAUCCGUAGCUGGUCUGAGAGGACGAUCAGCCACACUGGGACUGAGACACGGCCCAGACUCCUACGGGAGGCAGCAGUGGGGAAUCUUGCGCAAUGGGCGAAAGCCUGACGCAGCAACGCCGCGUGAGGGAAGAAGGCCUUCGGGUUGUAAACCUCUUUCAGUAGGGACGAAGCUUCCGGGGUUAAUAGCCCACGGGGUGACGGUACCUACAGAAGAAGCCCCGGCUAACUACGUGCCAGCAGCCGCAGUAAGAC
rnacentral:rRNA from 1 species